rnacentral:rRNA from 1 species
AUUGAACGCUGGCGGCAGGCCUAACACAUGCAAGUCGAACGGUAACAGGAAACAGCUUGCUGUUUCGCUGACGAGUGGCGGACGGGUGAGUAAUGUCGGGGACACUGCCUGAUGGAGGGGGAUAACUACUGGAAACGGUAGCUAAUACCGCAUAACGUCGUAGGACCAAAGAGGGGGACCUUCGGGCCUCUUGCCAUCGGAUGUGCCCAGAUGGGAUUAGCUAGUAGGUGGGGUAACGGCUCACCUAGGCGACGAUCCCUAGCCUGUCUGAGAGGAUGACCAGCCACACUGGAACUGAGACACGGUCCAGACUCCUACGGGAGGCAGCAGUGGGGAAUAUUGCACAAUGGGCGCAAGCCUGAUGCAGCCAUGUCGCGUGUAUGAAGAAGGCCUUCGGGUUGUAAAGUACUUUCAGCGGGGAGGAAGGGAGUAAAGUUAAUACCUUUGCUCAUUGACGUUACCCGCAGAAGAAGCACCGGCUAACUCCGUGCCAGCCGCCGCGGUAA